CUGCCCAGUGAUUAAAAUUUAACGGCCGCGGUACCCUGACCGUGCAAAGGUAGCAUAAUCAUUUGCCCUAUAAUUGAGGGCUAGUAUGAAUGGUUUGACAAGAGUAAUACUGUCUCCAUAAGAAUUUUUAGAAUUUAUUCUCUAGGUGAAGAAUCCUAGAUAAAAUUAAAAGACAAGAAGACCCUAUCGAGCUUGAAAUAUAUUUAUAAAAUAAAAAAAAUUAUUUAAUAUUUUUAAUUACAAAAAAUUUUGGUUGGGGCGACUAAGGAACAAAUAAAGCUUCUUAAUAAAACUAAUACUUAUAAGUAAUGAUCCAUUAUUAUAAUGAUU
rnacentral:rRNA from 1 species